UACGGGGGGGGCAAGCGUUGUUCGGAAUUACUGGGCGUAAAGGGCUCGUAGGCGGCCAACUAAGUCAGACGUGAAAUCCCUCGGCUUAACCGGGGAACUGCGUCUGAUACUGGAUGGCUUGAGGUUGGGAGAGGGAUGCGGAAUUCCAGGUGUAGCGGUGAAAUGCGUAGAUAUCUGGAGGAACACCGGGGGCGAAGGCGGCAUCCUGGGCCAAUUCUGACGCUGAGUGAGCGAAAGCCAGGGGAGCAAACGGG
rnacentral:rRNA from 1 species